rnacentral:rRNA from 1 species
ACAAUGAAGAGUUUGAUCCUGGCUCAGGAUGAACGCUAGCGGCAGGCCUAACACAUGCAAGUCGAGGGGUAACAGGGAAAAGCUUGCUUUUCCGCUGACGACCGGCGCACGGGUGCGUAACGCGUAUGCAACCUACCUUUUACAGGAGUAUAGCCCAGAGAAAUUUGGAUUAAUCCUCCAUAAUAUCUUUUUCUUGCAUAGGAAAAAGAUUAAAGCUUCGGUGGUAAAAGAUGGGCAUGCGUUUUAUUAGCUAGUAGGUGAGGUAACGGCUCACCUAGGCCACGAUAAAUAGGGGCCCUGAGAGGGGGAUCCCCCACACUGGUACUGAGACACGGACCAGACUCCUACGGGAGGCAGCAGUGAGGAAUAUUGGACAAUGGACGAAAGU